CCUACGGGAGGCAGCAGUGAGGAAUAUUGGUCAAUGGGCGCGAGUCUGAACCAGCCAAGUAGCGUGAAGGAUGACUGCCCUACGGGUUGUAAACUUCUUUUAUAAAGGAAUAAAGUUAGGCACGUGUACCUUUCUGUAUGUACUUUAUGAAUAAGGAUCGGCUAACUCCGUGCCAGCAGCCGCGGUAAUACGGAGGAUCCGAGCGUUAUCCGGAUUUAUUGGGUUUAAAGGGAGCGUAGAUGGGUUGUUAAGUCAGUGGUGAAAGUUCGCGGCUUAACCGUAAAAUUGCCAUUGAUACUGGUAGUCUUGAGUACAGUUGAGGUAGGCGGAAUUCGUGGUGUAGCGGUGAAAUGCUUAGAUAUCACGCAGAACUCCGAUUGCGAAGGCAGCUUACUAAACUGUCACUGACAUUGAUGCUCGAAAGUGUGGGUAUCAAACAGGAUUAGAUACCCUUGUAGUC
rnacentral:rRNA from 1 species